rnacentral:rRNA from 1 species
ACCUGCCUCAAAGAGGGGGACAACAGUUGGAAACGACUGCUAAUACCGCAUAAGCCCACGACCCGGCAUCGGGUAGAGGGAAAAGGAGCAAUCCGCUUUGAGAUGGCCUCGCGUCCGAUUAGCUAGUUGGUGAGGUAAUGGCCCACCAAGGCGACGAUCGGUAGCCGGACUGAGAGGUUGAACGGCCACAUUGGGACUGAGACACGGCCCAGACUCCUACGGGAGGCAGCAGUGGGGAAUAUUGCACAAUGGGGGAAACCCUGAUGCAGCGACGCCGCGUGGAGGAAGAAGGUCUUCGGAUUGUAAACUCCUGUUGUUGAGGAAGAUAAUGACGGUACUCAACAAGGAAGUGACGGCUAACUACGUGCCAGCAGCCGCGGUAAAACGUAGGUCACAAGCGUUGUCCGGAAUUACUGGGUGUAAAGGGAGCGCAGGCGGGAAGACAAGUUGGAAGUGAAAUCCAUGGGCUCAACCCAUGAACUGCUUUCAAAACUGUUUUUCUUGAGUAGUGCAGAGGUAGGCGGAAUUCCCGGUGUAGCGGUGGAAUGCGUAGAUAUCGGGAGGAACACCAGUGGCGAAGGCGGCCUACUGGGCACCAACUGACGCUGAGGCUCGAAAGUGUGG